CCAAUUUUGAUUGAACACUUACAUUGCUCACAUCAUCACACAGCUUCUAUGAGGAGUACAAAGAUGGUGGACGGUGGCUCCAAAGGCGUUGGCCCCAGAGGGUUAAAUAAAUAUUUCUGUUCAUGUUAACACAGGCGCUACUGAGACCCGAACCACACACAAUACAUACUGGAAUAACCUUGAAAGACACUACUGGAUUAGUUUAUAAACUCCAACAGGAAUGAACAUUUAUGAUUUUAGGGUUUACAAUCAUUUUUGAUAAACUUGAUUUAAAAAAAAAUAUCGAGACUUAGUUAACUGGCCCACCAGCGGCUUUCAAAGCUGGCGCAAGAGUUAGCUUUGAGAAUGAGCUGAUGAACUGUGCCCACCACUGAAGUAAAUGACACUUUAGUUCGAAUUAAACAGAAGCUGUGUCAUUUGUCAGUCGAGUAAAACAUAUUUUUCCCAUCAGUCACACUCUGAGUGUAAUAAAUCUCCAGUGGAAAUAACAUCUUAGUCUGGUUUGGUGAGGUGUAUUGUGUGAGGGCACCUGUACGUUUGUGCUCAGUGUUCUCUGGCCACUACAUCAGCCGGGGUCACACAAAAUGAAGUGUGAUGAAUUGAUUCCCAAAGUACUUGCUUGCCACUCUGUGUGUUUCUUCCUCCAGGAUCAUUAAUCAGUCGUUUUCACUGUUCCUGCAAGGACAUGGCAGUAAGGACACUGUCCGCUCCACUCUUCAGCUUUCCACGCGGUUCUUGCUUUGUGAUCUUGCUUUAAUGAUCUCACCUCCAGUCACUAUUUUCCAUAUUUUAAUCUCACACUAAGUGCUUUUAGUCUCAAAUUCUGACGCUCAAAUUCUUGCACACUGGAGUACUGAUCAUAAUGUCUCUCUGUCUGUCUGAUGUGGUCUUCAUGUCCGUACAGUGGAUCUCAGCACUGCUGCCUGCUUCAUUUCAUCUGUUCUGGUAUCUAAUCUCUCCUUUGGGAGAAUAUGGAGGAGUGGUUCCUAUCUGAGGGAAUGAUUCAGAGAGAUAGAUGAGUGGUCACGUGAAGAGAGGGAGGAGAGGAGGUUUGGCUCAUUUGACAGUGAAGGAGUAGAUGGAGGACAGUCAACUAUCAUGCACCAAGAGCCAAGUUUGUUCCAUCCAAACACAUUAUUUAUAGGUUUUGCUCCAUGAAUGCAAGAGAUGAUGAAUUAAAGGGCAGAAUAAUUUGGACUAGUUUUUCAUUAGAAUAAAAAGAGACUAUUCUUGGGAGGUUUUGCCUGCGUGGGCUGCCAUCCAAGACCACAUGACAUAACAGUUCCACUGUCUG